rnacentral:lncRNA from 1 species
GAAACCUCCCCGGAGUGUGUGUGGUGUUUCCGCUGCCUACCGGAAACAACAUUCUUAGAGCUGGAGGCGUCUACCUCCUUCCCAGACACGGCCUUUUUCACUGUGCCUUGUCUGCAUUCUGGACCACCAGGAGCCAUGAGAGAGAGAGAGAGAGACCCCCACUUUUGGACCACCGCUCCUCCCGUCUGAAGAGCCCUGGGUUUGGUGUGACUGGGUGGCAGGUGGUGUGUGAUGUUUUCGAGUGGCAGUGGUCUCUGGCACCUGGGGACAGCCAUGCCCACACUGACCAGGUAUGUAGAGUGCUCAGCCUUACCUGACAGCAUAUUUGUAACUGAAUACA